AUUUACCGACGUACACUCCGGUUCCUCCGCGCCGUCCGCAUCCACCUGGCGACUGCUCGCGACGUUUUGUCAGCC
rnacentral:sRNA from 2 species